rnacentral:rRNA from 1 species
UACGUAGGAUGCAAGCGUUGUCCGGAUUUACUGGGCGUAAAGCGCGCGCAGGCGGCACACCAAGUACCCUAUGAAAUCUCCCUGCUCAACGGGGAGGGUGCACUGUAAACUGGUGAGCUAGAGGACGGUAGAGGGGGGGUGGAAUUGCUGGUGUAGCGGUGAAAUGCGUAGAUAUCUGGAGGAACACCGGUGGCGAAGGCGGCAUCCUGGACCGACACUGACGCUGAGGCGCGAAAGCUAGGGUAGCAAACGGG